ensembl:lncRNA
GGGAAACCACUGCCUGCCCAUCCCCCACCAAGGGUGGGAGUAUCGCUUCCCUUCUUCCCCUGCCCAGAGCUGUUGAGCCAGUAGGUGCUUGAUGGAAGUGAGUUCCUUUCUUUUCACCCCCUUUUCUUCCACUUUAAGCCCUCACACCCAUUCCUCCUUCAGGAGGCCCCAUCAGCCCCCAUCCUUCCCUCUGACUGAGCCCUGGUCUAACUGAGGCCAGACAUGUCCAUGUCCAGAUAGGGACUGGCUUCGAGCAGGUUCACGUCCCAGCACCUCGGUCCUGCUGUUCCUCUAACAUGUGCUGGGUAUAUUCAUUCUUCAGUUGACCGUUAUUUCACCAGCUGUGUGCCAGGCUCUAUAUACUAGACAUCGGGGAUUCAGCAGUGAGCAAGACAGAGGCCCACAGAGCUCAGAAUGCUGUGGGAGCCAGGGGGCCUGGAUUCAAUCCCUGGUCAGGAAACUAGAUCCUUCAUGACACAACUGAAGAUCCCACAUGCAGAAAUGAAGAUGCCACCUGACGCAACCAAGACCCAGCACAGCCAA